CCUGAAGUUUACUUGACACUCAUCUUUAGGGACCUUGUCUGGAAUUUUCAUGGGUAUGUACAUUACUUGCAGCCUGAAGUUGUUUGUUACUGUUGUUGUAGCCUGAAUCACAUGUCGCGUGCGAGUAGUUCGUCGAACAGACGACAUCAAUGGCCUCAGUAUGGGACAGUGCCACUUAUGCGCUGCCCCGAGUGUGAACGGCCAGAGCCUCUUUUGCGGCUCACAUCGAGGAAAACUGAGAAUGGCAACUAUGGUCGUGAGUUCGUGAAGUGCCCAUGGAAGGAUUUGCGAAAAUGUGACUUCUUCAUGUGGCUGGAUGAUUAUAUGAAGAUGAUAGAAGCAGAAGGGUUGGCGGGUGGUCCAAAUGAAUACAUUGGGCACCAACAUGUGGCAACUGCUAACGCGAAAGCAAUUAGUGACCUGAUCGCUGAAGUUAAGAAGGUGAAUCACAACUUGAGCGAGAUGAAGAAGAUUGUUGGAGCUUUUUGCGCUACUAUGAUUUUAAUUUCCUCGCUUUUCUUUGUGAUGAAAUGUAAUUGAAAGCAUUUAAUUUGAAGUGUGGCAGGUUUGUGUGUUGUAUUGAUGUGUGAACUUUUCUAGUGCAUGCUAUGUAGUGAUUGGUGAUAUGUGUUGUAGUGAUCUGUGAACAAUAUAUGCUAGUCUGGCACUUUGUCUGGAAUAUUUGAGUCUGGCACUGUCUGGAAUAUUUGAGUUGGCAUGUUGUCUGGAAUAUAUGCUAGUGCAUGCUGUGUGAA